rnacentral:rRNA from 1 species
AGUACAAAAACUUUUAAUUGCAACGGAUCUCGUUCUGGCAUCGAUGAAGAACGCAGCGAAAUGCGAUAAGUAAUGUGAAUUGCAGAAUUCAGUGAAUCAUCGAAUCUUUGAACGCACCAGCCAUUGCGCCCGAUUCUGGCGGGCAUGCCUGUUCGAGCGUCAUUU